rnacentral:rRNA from 1 species
AUGAUAUCUUCUCAUAUUUCUCAAGUAGACCGAUAUGUUCAUAUUCAAAUAUUAUAUUACGUUAGUGAAAAAAAAUACAAUCUCAUUUCUCACUACAAACAUUUUGAAUCCAGGUUGAACAAACCUGAUUACCAACUCUACUCACGGUAUUUUCAUUCUGACAACACAAAUCGUAGCUGGUCUGUGAAGGGCAAUAAGAAUAAGAUAGAGAAAAGGAAAAACGACUACCUUUCUGAUUUUCAUGGCGUGGAUACUACCUUCAUCAGAGGAACCUAUACUGUAGGGAGUUUCACUACUGAUUGCCUUUUGAAGCGGUAUGAUGCUAAAGAAAAAAUUCUUUCUUCGCUACUGCUGAUGAAAACCUGGAGACAUCCAAAUGUAGUGGUGUUGCAAAACAUCUACAAGGCGGGUCCGUAUUAUCGUCUUGUAGUAUCCGCCAGCUCUUUUGAUGGUACCUUAAAUGGAUGGCUCAAGCACGGUGAAGACAACAGGAUUUUAAACAUGGAUGGCAAAUUCACCCCCUUUUUCAGCAGAAUCACCUUGUAA